GUCCUUGCGCAGUGGCAAUAUCGUAACCAAUGAAGGCCUACUGAGGUGCGAUUAAUGCUAGUUGAAAACUUUUACCAAAAAAAUCGCAUAAAUCUUAAUAAAAUUAAAUUUCGAUUAAGAAUUUUCUUAAUUUUAGAGGAUUAA
rnacentral:snRNA from 1 species